CGAUAAAUCUUCCAAAAACUCAAAAUUUUUUUUUUUCAAAAAUUCCCAACAAUCUCUUACUAUGGCCUUUCACGUAGCUUGCCCAAUUACAUGUCGGCGAAUUUGCUUUUGUUCGCUAGGGUUUCCUCGGAAUCUCCAUUCUCCCGAUUCCAAGCAUGACUUCUUGCAGGAACUGAUUCGAGUGGAGGCGUUUUUGAAAGAUCCAUUGGGCGUUUCGGUUUCUCCAGAAAGGACUGUGCAGGUUCGCGUACCUAAAGUAACGCCGGUUCCGGCUGGGGAUGGAGGAGAUGGCGUUGAUGCCGUGGAGGAUUCGGCCUCGGUUUUGGCGGCUCAGUCAAAGAGGCUCGUGCUUCAGAGAAAAGCUGCUGCUGAGGUUUAUGCUAGGAAGGUUGAGCCGGGUGAUAUUGCGGUUGCAUCAAUAGAUUCUGCUCUACAAGAGCAAGGCCAGUCAAACAAAACUGUAACUUGUCACAUGUGCUUUUCGGGUGAAAAUGAAGGAAGUGAGAGGGCAAGAAGGAUGCUCGCAUGUCGAAAUUGUGGCAAGAAGUACCAUAGAAGCUGCUUGAAAUCUUGGGUUCAACAUAGAGAUUUGUUUCAUUGGAGUUCCUGGACUUGCCCCUAUUGUCGAACCUGUGAGGUGUGCCGAAGUACUGGAGAUCCAACUAAGCUCAUGUUUUGCAAAAGGUGUGAUGGUGCAUACCAUUGCUAUUGUCAACAUCCAUCACACAAGAAUGUUACCUCUGGGCCAUAUUUGUGCCCAAAGCAUACAAAGUGUCACAGCUGUGGAUCCAAUGUCCCCGGAAAUGGUUCAAGUGUGCGGUGGUUCUUGGAAUACACUUGUUGUGAUGCUUGUGGAAGGUUGUUUGUGAAGGGAAAUUAUUGCCCUGUAUGUUUGAAGGUUUAUAGAGACUCAGAAUCGACACCCAUGGUCUGCUGUGAUGUUUGCCAGCGCUGGGUGCACUGCGAGUGUGAUGGCAUCAGUGAUGAAAAAUAUCUUCAGUUCCAAGUAGAUGCAAAUCUCCAGUAUAAAUGUGCAGCAUGUCGUGGGGAGUGCUACCAGGUUACAGAUCUUGAGGAUGCUGUUCAAGAGCUUUGGAAGAGGAGAGACAGAACUGAUCAGGACCUUAUUGCUAGCUUGAGGGCUGCUGCAGGGCUGCCAACUCAAGAAGAAAUAUUCUCUAUCUCUCCAUAUUCUGAUGAUGAGGAAAAUGGUCCUGUGAUGUUUAAAAAAGAAUUUGUGCGUUCCCCGAAGUUCUCUCUCAAAGGGAUAGCUGACAAGCUUCUGAAGAAGAACAAGGAAUAUGGAAAGGAGUCUUCAAGCAAAAAAUAUCUUAAGAAAAAGACAUACCAGGCAUCUUUAAUUAGCAAAGGAGAGUCACAGCUGAGUUUUGAAGGGAAUCAGGAUAUUCAAUCUCAAGGAUAUAGUGUGAGUGAGUACAGGAUCGAUGAAGUUGCAAUCCAGAGAGAUGAAGGACAAAAUAUUUCUUCUCCUGUUACUGAAACGUGUUCUACUAAUCAGCCAGGGAUUUUGAAAAACAAGCUGGUAGAUGAGGUGAUGGUUAGUGAUGAAGAUAGAAAAUCACGUGUACUUAAAAUUAAAAGUAACAAGCCACAUGAUUUAGAUAGUGGAGAUGAUAAACAUGAUAGCAAGUCAAAUACUUUGAAAGCAAAGAAGUUAGUCAUAAAUCUAGGUUCACGAAAAAUAAAUGUUACCAAUUCCCCAAAGCCUGAUGCUUCAAACUCUCAAAGAGAACGAGAUGUGAUUUCUUACAAUGGUGUUCAAGAUGCAAAUAAACAGAGUUACAAGUUUAUGCUGGAUAAGCAUGACAAUACUGCUAAAUCUGGUGAUGGAUACAAAGUUUAUCAAUCCAAGUCAAGAAGGGUGAAAACUGCGGGAAAAGAAGGGAAUGUGAUGAAGUUUGGAAAAAUUAAGCCAGAAUCUCCUGAACUGGGGCCCAAAGUCGGUGCAGCAAGCAGUUCUGAUGGAUAUGAAAUUGGCCCUCCUGAACAGCCACGAGUUGCAUCUGGAAAAGGAAGCAUUGAUGUAACUAGGCUUGAUGCUGCACCGUCAGGUGAGGCGUCCAUCCUAAGAGGGGGCAAGGUGAUGUUGAGAAAGUGCUUCGAAGACAGGGCUGAUACGAAUGGUGAAAGUAAUGAAGAUUUUGGUCACACACCUGUCUUGAAAUCUUUUCCAAAAGAUUCCAAACUGUCUCUCAAGUUUAAAUUGAAGAAACCUGAUCUUGAUAAUCAGAAUUCUAAGGUUCAUCCUGUGGAAGAAAAAAGUUCUAUAAAGGGCCAAAGGUCAAAAAGGCAGAGACCAUCAACCUUUGUGGAAAAAUCGUUGUUUAAUGUAGAUGAAGAUCUUGAUGUCACACACACGCAUCAAAACAGCAUAAUGGAUGGCAUGAUGGAUGCUAAUUGGAUAUUAAAGAAGUUGGGUAAAGAUGCAAUUGGAAAGAAAGUUGAGAUUCAUCACGCCUCUGACAAUUCAUGGCAUAAAGGAGCUGUUCAUGACAUCAUUGAAGGCACAUCCACAGUAUCUGUGAUGCUAGAUGAUGGUAGAGUAAAAAGCUUGGAACUUGGGAAGCAAGGCAUUCGUUUUGUUCUUCAAAAACAAAAGAGAAGCAAAUUUUGAAACUGAACGGUCUAAUCUAAUUCUUUGUGAGUGGAUUGUGGAGAUUUUUCCAUUUCUGGAUGUGGCGGUGCUCAGGCAGUUGCUGUUCUUUUCUUUAUAUUAAUUUUCCUCAGCUUUGCACUGAUGCUACUUUAUAUCAUCGGGAUGCCUUUUUACUGCACUUGCAGAUGAAAACAAAUAACUUAAGCAACCCAUUCAACCACAGUUGGGGGUGGUAGGUCCCAUAGCAACCAGAAUCCAUCACGAGCAUCUGGAUCCAAGCCUCUUGGAUGGCGAAGAAAUGUAAGCCUUUGCAUGCCUUCUUUACAGCUUCCUGAGCCUCAUCUUCACUUGUAGUUAUAGGAGAUUUCUUGAAGGUUGCAUGAACAUAGCUGGUAGAAUUUCCAAAAGAUAGGAUCAGGCAAACACCUGUGGUGUUGACUUCUACCGAACAGACUUCCAGUCCAGAUUUCGUCAAAGCUGCAAAAACCAAUGCUUCUAGAGGAGCUGGACAGACCAAAUGAGAGUUCAACAAUGAUGGAAGCGAUUUGAUAUUCGCAGCAGCAGUGGCAGCCACUGCAGUUGCUCAGUUGCUGGGAUGCAGUGGGGGAAGGCGCUAAAACCUGGCACAGCAGAGGCUGAGUAGUAUGCUUCUGUUUGUCACCAUGCCAACUACCAAGAUCUUUUUAACAAGUGGGGCUCUGCUGAUAGUUUGGUGGUGGCCUAUUCACUAUGGCUGAAUGGCACAACUUAUUAGUGCUUGUAAUUUCAUAAUCUUGGAAAAACUUAAAUUUCUUUGUUACUAGUUCUGAUGAUCACAGUCUGCUGAGAAGGGGAUUUUGAAGGCAUAAAAGAAAGAGUAUAUAUAUGUAUAUGAACUAAAUUAAGCAUGUAUAACAUUAAAUAAGUAUCCAUAUAUAUAAAUCGUAAAGUAUGAAUUUACGUAAGUAAGAA